rnacentral:lncRNA from 1 species
UUCUUCUUCUUCUUCUUCUUCUUCUUCUUCUUUACUGCUCCUACUUCUACUACUAAUAUUUCUACUACUACUACUUCUACUACUACUUCUUCUACUACUUCUUCUACUACUACUACUUCUACUACUUCUUCUACUACUACUACUUCUUCUUCUUAUACGUCUUUUUUCUCUUCUUCUUCUUUUUGAAACUCAUUAGGGGAAGAAAAAAAGAGAGAGAAAUCAGAAUGUCUGGGCCCAUUUCCCCUCCGUUUUUCAGUGGAGAAACCCAAAUACAGUUUUAUAAUUUUUAUUAGACCUUUUUAGGGCAGUGGAGGAAAAGUGCAGUUACCUGUUGAAAGCUACUUUCAAAGACGAACAUUCAAAUGAACAUGUUUCGUUGUUGUUUUUGAGUAAUUUCUGAGGUAUAUUUCCUUUAUUUCAUAUUUUUAACCUAAAUUGUAUGCACUGGAGCAACUAUCAUGGAGUCAAGUCAGAAACAUGGAAUAGUUCCUAUACAAAGAAUGGUUUGAAUAGACUAGGACUGUUUUGCCUGGUUAGAAAUGGUAUUAAAGAAUCAUUUAUUCCUGUCAAUGAACACAGUGACAACCCUGGACAGAGAUGCCAGGUCCUCCAAAUGACACCUGACUGGAAACAAAAAGCACUGUAUGCAAAGCAGCAUUCGCUGGGCCUUGAAGUUAAUGAACUGCACCGUGC